GAUGAACGCUAGCGGCAGGCCUAAUACAUGCAAGUCGAACGGAUAUAUGUUUUUCGGAAUAUAUAUUAGUGGCGCACGGGUGAGUAACACGUACAUAACUUGCCCUCAAGCGGGGGGAUAGCCUUGGGAAACUGAGAGUAAUACCCCAUAGAAUUAUUGGACGGCAUCGUUUGAUAAUUAAAACUACGGUGUUUGGGGAUAGAUGUGCGUCUGAUUAGCUAGUUGGUGAGGUAACUGCUCACCAAGGCGACGAUCAGUAGGGGGCGUGAGAGCGUGGCCCCCCACACGGGUACUGAGACACGGACCCGACUCCUACGGGAGGCAGCAGUAAGGAAUAUUGGUCAAUGGAGGGAACUCUGAACCAGCCAUGCCGCGUGAAGGAUGACGGCCCUCUGGGUUGUAAACUUCUUUUGGAUGGGGCGAAAAACGGGAUUUAUCCUGGACUGACGGUACCAUCAGAAUAAGCACCGGCUAACUCCGUG
rnacentral:rRNA from 1 species